rnacentral:rRNA from 1 species
UACAGAGGUCUCAAGCGUUUGUUCGGAUUCAUUGGGCGUAAAGGGUGCGUAGGCGGCGCGGUAAGUCGGGUGUGAAAUCUUGGAGCUUAACUCCGAAACUGCAUUCGAUACUGCCGUGCUUGAGGACUGGAGAGGAGACUGGAAUUUACGGUGUAGCGGUGAAAUGCGUAGAUAUCGUAAGGAAGACCAGUGGCGAAGGCGGGUCUCUGGACAGUUCCUGACACUGAGACACGAAGGCCAGGGGAGCAAAACGGGG